rnacentral:ncRNA from 1 species
UCUUAUCAAGAGCAGGCGGAGGGACUAGCCCUAUGAAGCCCGGCAACCGGCGUCGACGACGCACGGUGCUAAUUCUUGCGGAAACGGACGCGGACGCGGCGUUUCUGACAGAUGAGA